UAAGAGUUUACUUCUAUAAAUUAAAGCCUCUGCGUAGGAAUCAAAUGAAGACAAAAGACUUUAAUUUAUAGAAGUAUGUAAAUGAAUGAGAUGAUUUCACAUUAACAUCUCUCAGACAGUUUAACUGCAGGUCCAUAACAGCGAAACAUCAACAGUUACUUAGGGCUCUGAAACUAUCUGUAUAGCUUCUGAUAGUCAUGUAAGUAUUACUCACCCAGCUGUGAGCUGACGGUGGGGUAGAGAAGCUCUGAAGAUAGUAUGGAAGUGGCAGUCCUGUUGAAAUUCGAGGACUCAGAACGUUGACAGAAACUGAACAGCAUCCUGUUUUGUAAGUGCUCAGUGUGUGGAAUGAACUGCCAGAGGAAGUGAAGGAUGUGGGUGGUUACGAUGUUUGAAAAACAUUCAGUAUAAGCGGGAGCAUCAGCGACAGCCCUGACAGGGUUCGGCAGCUGCAGAGAGAGGGGGUGGAGAGAUCAGAAUCUGAGAACAAUAGACUGGAAUGUGACAACAAUGGAUCAGAAUCUGAGAACAAUAGACUGGAAUGUGACAACAAUGGAUCAGAAUCUGAGAACAAUAG